rnacentral:rRNA from 1 species
UGGUGGAGUGAUUUGUCUGGUUAAUUCCGUUAACGAACGAGACCUCAACCUGCUAAUUAGUAGCGAGAACCUCUGGUUCUUCCGUUACUUCUUAGAGGGACUACUGGUUGACAGCUAGUGGAAGUUUGAGGCAAUAACA